GACGUAGGAUGCAAGCGUUGUCCGGAUUUAUUGGGCGUAAAGAGUUCGUAGGUGGUUCGUUAAGUCUGAUGUUAAAGACCGGGGCUCAACUUCGGGACUGCAUUGGAUACUGGCGGACUUGAGUGUGGUAGAGGCAAGCGGAAUUCCAGGUGUAGCGGUGAAAUGCGUAGAUAUCUGGAAGAACACCGGUGGCGCAAGCGGCUUGCUGGGCCAUAACUGACACUGAGGAACGAAAGCGUGGGGAGCGAACAGG
rnacentral:rRNA from 1 species